rnacentral:tRNA from 1 species
GGAGAGUGUCACCUUGACGUGGUGGAGGUCAUCAGUUCGAGUCUGAUUAUCCCUAGAGCCCUUCUGCUCUCU